CUGGCUCAGAUUGAACGCUGGCGGCGUGCUUAACACAUGCAAGUCGCGCGUGAAAGGACUUCGGUCCGAGUAAAGCGGCGCACGGGUGAGUAACGCGUGGAUGAUCUACCCAUGAGUUAGGAAUAACGGCUGGAAACGGUCGCUAAUACCAAAUACGCUCCGAUUUCAACUUCGGGGGAAAGGUGGCCUCUGCUUGCAAGCUACUGCUCAUGGAUGAGUCCGCGUCCCAUUAGCUAGUUGGUGGGGUAACGGCCCACCAAGGCGACGAUGGGUAGCCGGUCUGAGAGGAUGACCGGCCACACUGGGACUGGAACACGGCCCAGACUCCUACGGGAGGCAGCAGUGGGGAAUAUUGCGCAAUGGGCGAAAGCCUGACGCAGCGACGCCGCGUGAGGGAUGAAGGUCCUCGGAUCGUAAACCUCUGUCAGGAGGGAAGAACCGCCACGGUGCUAAUCAGCCGUGGUCUGACGGUACCUCCAAAGGAAGCACCGGCUAACUCCGUGCCAGCCGCCGC
rnacentral:rRNA from 1 species